CGAAUCCCAUCCUUAUCAGCGUCAUUAUCGUCGCCACGCUCUAGGAAGUCACCCCCGACAGCCGGUGUGGGGAUAUUUAUUGGGGGGAGGGGGGUGCGGGAGGACCCGGUGGGGCGAAGCCCCCGGGCCCCGGUGGGUCCCCUCGGUCCCCCCGCCGGCCCCCGGGGCCGGGGCUCAGUCCGCCCAGGGGCUCCUUCCCGGGCCGUAGGCCACCCCGCGCAGAAAGUAGUGGUGGAUGCUGUAGGCGAAGAAACAGGAGCAGAAGACGAGGAUCAUGGCGGCCAGCGUGAAGAGCGUGUAGAUGGACAUCCGCUUCUCCUUGGAGCCCCUGACCAGGCAGCUGAAGGGGCCGGGGCAGAGCGGGGUGCUGCAGCGGACGGGCGAGCCGUCCACCAGGGGCAAGUGGCCCAAGACCAGCAGGGUGGCGAACAGGCCCUGGCUGAGGAGCUGCAGCAGGAAGUAGAGGAGGUAGAGGUCGAGCAUCAUCUUCUCGCGGUGGAAGUCCAGGAUGGUCCUCUUCUGGCUCUGGGCCUCCUCCCGGACGCCCAUCACGGAGCUCCUCUCGCAGUCGUCCCGCUGGGCCUCCAGGGCCUUGAGCUUGGCCUGCUUGUGCCGCAGCUGGGCCACGAAGAACUCCAGCAGGAUGAAGAGGGCGAGGAAGGUGAAGCAGAAGAAGUACCAGACGCCGACCACGGGCCGGUCGAAGUGGGCCUCGAAGCACUGCACGAGGCACGGGGUGGAGAUGUUCCCGUGGCACCAGAAGUCCUGGUGGAGCAGGGCCCAGGGCAGGCGGACCACGUAGACCACCAGCCCGUACAGCCCCGUGAAGCCGAACCACAUCUGCCGGCCGAUGUAGUAGCUGGUCUUGUCGCCCGCCACCGAGUGGACCACGGGGAUGAGGCCGGCCACGGCCGCCGCCGCCAUGGCUCCCCGCCCCGGGGGCGUCGCGGGCCGGGGGGCCGCCCGCCUCCGGCUCCUCCUGGGACAAGGGGGACAGCGGAGUCGCCUCUCGUUUUCGACGGUAGCCGCCGAGGGGCCCCUCGGCUGCCCCCCCGGGGCCGGACACCGGGCCGCACGCCGGGACGGGGCCGGCGUGGCUUAGGGGAAGGGGCGCGGCCUCGGAUGUCAGAGGACGUGGGUUCUGAUCCCGGUGGGCGGCCCGCUUCGCUCCUCCGGGCCUCAGUUCCCUCAUCUGGAACACGGGGGUGA
rnacentral:lncRNA from 1 species